rnacentral:lncRNA from 1 species
CACAAAUUGAAAACCAUGAGCUAUGAUCUUGACAGGCUCUUCCAGCCUUAGGUUAGGAAAAGAAUCCAAGCCGGCCGAGAUACAAAUGCUGAGGCUGUCGCGGACAACCUCAGUGGACCCGAUUCCUGCCCAGAGACCGGGGAUAAAUCCACUGGAAGAAGCCCCAACCCCAGGCCCAUGCAUCCGUCCAGAAGACCUCCCAGCUGCUUUCUGGACCCAAGAAGCUCCUUAUCCCAGCUCUAUGAGGAUCCAGAGACCCUAAAGGGAGCCUACCCCAGGCCGGGCCUUUCAGCUCAUGGACUCUGCUGCCACCAGAUCCUUGUACAGAGAAGCAACCAACUGACCUGCUCUGCCAUGCAGGGUGCAGAAGGCAGGCCUAGAGCUAUCAAAGCUGUGGUCUUGUUGUCCCUCGUCCUGACAAUCAUGAGGCUAUAACCCAGCUAUGGAAAUCUUCAUACCAUAGGGGGCCACUCAGGGUGGGAGGAAGCAAAGGUCGUUUAUUCUCUUUCUUCUGGAAACGAUGUAGUGCUUUCUGCUCCAGAACCACUAGUCCUCCCCACAGUUCUGUGGCAUGAAAAGUAAAGAUGUCUGGGCAGCUGACCAGGCAUGGGCAUUGUGGAA